rnacentral:misc_RNA from 1 species
AAGUCGUAACAAGGUUUCCGUAGGUGAACCUGCGGAAGGAUCAUUAUUGAAUUAUGUUUUCUAGAUGGGUUGUAGCUGGCUCCUAGGAGCAUGUGCACGCCUGUCUGGACUUCAUUUUCAUCCACCUGUGCACCUCUUGUAGUCUUUGUUCGGGUAUGGAGGAAGUGGUCAGCCUUAUCAGCUCCGGCUGGAUAUGAGGACUUGCAGUGUGAAAGCAGUGCUGUCCGCUACUUGGCCAUGGAAUCUGUUUCCUGUCAGAGUCUAUGUUGUUCAUUAUACCCUAUAAACUGUUAUUGAAUGUUUUUACAUGGGCUUCUAUGCCUAUGAAAAUUGUAAUACAACUUUCAGCAACGGAUCUCUUGGCUCUC